UACGUAGGGGGCUAGCGUUGUCCGGAAUCAUUGGGCGUAAAGCGCGUGUAGGCGGUCCGGUAAGUCCGCUGUGAAAGUCGAGGGCUCAACCCUCGAAUGCCGGUGGAUACUGUCGGGCUUGAGUACGGGAGAGGCGAGUGGAAUUCCUGGUGUAGCGGUGAAAUGCGCAGAUAUCGGAAGGAACACCAGUGGCGAAAGCGAACUUCCUGGUCGAAUACUGACGUUCAUGUGCGAAAGCGUGGGGAGCAAACAGG
rnacentral:rRNA from 1 species